rnacentral:rRNA from 1 species
AUACGGAGGGUGCGAGCGUUGUUCGGAAUCACUGGGCGUAAAGCGUACGUAGGCGGUUCGGUAAGUCGGGUGUGAAAGCCCAGGGCUCAACUCUGGAAUUGCACCCGAUACUGCCAAACUUGAGUGUGGGAGAGGGAAGCGGAAUUCCUGGUGUAGCGGUGAAAUGCGUAGAUAUCAGGAGGAACACCCGUGGCGAAAGCGGCUUCCUGGCCCAUUACUGACGCUGAGGUACGAAAGCGUGGGGAGCAAACAGGAUUAGAUACCCUGGUAGUCCACGCCGUAAACGAUGAGUGCUAGGUGUUGGAGGUGUUGACCCCUUCAGUGCCGGCGCUAACGCAUUAAGCACUCCGCCUGGGGAGUACGGUCGCAAGACUAAA